CCCUGGUAGUCCAUGCCGUAAACGUUGGGCGCUAGAUGUAGGGACCUUUCCACGGUUUCUGUGUCGUAGCUAACGCAUUAAGCGCCCCGCCUGGGGAGUACGGCCGCAAGGCUAAAACUCAAAGGAAUUGACGGGGGCCCGCACAAGCGGCGGAGCAUGCGGAUUAAUUCGAUGCAACGCGAAGAACCUUACCAAGGCUUGACAUACACCGGAAACGGCCAGAGAUGGUCGCCCCCUUGUGGUCGGUGUACAGGUGGUGCAUGGUUGUCGUCAGCUCGUGUCGUGAGAUGUUGGGUUAAGUCCCGCAACGAGCGCAACCCUCGUUCUAUGUUGCCAGCGGGUUAUGCCGGGGACUCAUAGGAGACUGCCGGGGUCAACUCGGAGGAAGGUGGGGAUGACGUCAAAUCAUCAUGCCCCUUAUGUCUUGGGCUUCACGCAUGCUACAAUGGCCGGUACAAAGGGCUGCGAUACCGUAAGGUGGAGCGAAUCCCAAAAAGCCGGUCUCAGUUCGGAUUGAGGUCUGCAACUCGACCUCAUGAAGUCGGAGUCGCUAGUAAUCGCAGAUCAGCAACGCUGCGGUGAAUACGUUCCCGGGCCUUGUACACACCGCCCGUCAAGUCAUGAAAGUCGGUAACACCCGAAGCCGGUGGCCUAACCCUUGUGGAAGGAGCCGUCGAAGGUGGGAUCGGUGAUUAGGACUAAGU
rnacentral:rRNA from 1 species